AUUGAACGCUGGCGGUAUGCUUUACACAUGCAAGUCGAACGGGCUUGGGGGCUUGCUCCCGGGUUAGUGGCGAACGGGUGAGUAAUAUAUCGGAACAUGUCCGGAAGUGGGGGAUAACGUAGCGAAAGUUACGCUAAUACCGCAUAUGCCCUGAGGGGGAAAGGAGGGGAUCGCAAGACCUUUCGCUUUCCGAGUGGCCGAUAUCGGAUUAGCUAGUAGGUGAGGUAAAGGCUCACCUAGGCGACGAUCCGUAGCUGGUCUGAGAGGACGACCAGCCACACUGGAACUGAGACACGGUCCAGACUCCUACGGGAGGCAGCAGUGGGGAAUUUUGGACAAUGGGCGAAAGCCUGAUCCAGCCAUGCCGCGUGUGUGAAGAAGGCCUUCGGGUUGUAAAGCACUUUCGGCCGGAACGAAAUCGCCUUUGUUAAUAGCGAAGGUGGAUGACGGUACCGGAAGAAGAAGCACCGGCUAACUACGUGCCAGCCGCCGCUGUAAUAC
rnacentral:rRNA from 1 species